GAUGAACGCUGGCGGCGUGCCUAAUACAUGCAAGUAGAACGCUGAAGGAAGGAGCUUGCUCUUUCCGGGUGAGUUGCGGACGGGUGAGUAACGCGUAGAUAACCUGCCUGGUAGCGGGGGAUAACUACUGGAAACGAUAGCUAAUACCGCAUAACAGUAGAUGUUGCAUGAUACCUACUUAAAAGGUGCAUUUGCACCACUACCAGAUGGACCUGGGUUGUAUUAGUUAGUUGGUAAGGUAACGGCCAACCAAGGGAACGAUACGUAGCCGCCCUGGAAGGUGGACCGGCACACUGGGAAUGAGACACGGGCCAGACUUCUAAGGGGAGGAACAGGAGGGAAACAUCGGCAAUGGGCCGAAGGCCGGCCGAAGAACGCCGGGUGAGUGGAGGAAGGUCUCGGGUCGGAAAGCUCUGUUGUAAGGGAAAGAAGAGUGGGAGAGUGAAAAGUUCACGCUGUGACGGUAUCUAACCAGAAAGCGACGGCUAACUACGUG
rnacentral:rRNA from 1 species